rnacentral:lncRNA from 1 species
AUUGUUACUGUCUCUGUCAUUGUCAUUGUCAUUGUCAUUGUCGUCUUCAGCACUAUCAAAGUUGGCGACGUUGCUGAUGUUACUGCUGCUGUUACUGCCACCUUCUUUUCUCUCCACUGUUGCUCCACACAUUGCUUCCAAGUGUCUUCUUAUCCCCGAGUCCGCUGAUGGACGACGUAACAGAAAUAUUAGGUAUAGUGCUGCACUUUGAGCAUAUCUCACAACUGUAUCCUUUUGCUCUAAGCGACAAAGUCCUCGCUCUUGUGCACUAUAG